rnacentral:rRNA from 1 species
CCUACGGGUGGCAGCAGUGAGGAAUAUUGGUCAAUGGGCGUAAGCCUGAACCAGCCAAGUCGCGUGAGGGAUGAAGGUUCUAUGGAUCGUAAACCUCUUUUAUAAGGGAAUAAAGUGUGGGACGUGUCCUAUUUUGUAUGUACCUUAUGAAUAAGGAUCGGCUAACUCCGUGCCAGCAGCCGCGGUAAUACGGAGGAUCCGAGCGUUAUCCGGAUUUAUUGGGUUUAAAGGGUGCGUAGGCGGCCUUUUAAGUCAGCGGUGAAAGUCUGUGGCUCAACCAUAGAAUUGCAGUGGAAACUGGGGGGCUUGAGUGUGGUUGAGGCAGGCGGAAUGCGUGGUGUAGCGGUGAAAGGCUUAGAUAUCACGCAGAACCCCGAUUGCGAAGGCAGCCUGCCAAGCCAUGACUGACGCUGAUGCACGAAAGCGUGGGGAUCAAACAGGAUUAGAUACCCCAGUAGUC